UUACCCUCCAGUCAUCAGCAAUGGUUACAGCUUCAUGACGCAUGCACUGUGACCCAUCUGAUUUGGGUGGCGAGCUGCGAUGAGUGACUAUAAAGAGAGAGGCAGUGCCUUCCUUAAAACAAUAUGCCUGUCGUAACAAAGCAUGGAGAAACAAAAAAGGUAGAAGCAGCUUUUCAGCUCCAGUGCCCUAAUGUCACCAUUUGUCACGCAGCUUUCCCUUACAGCUUCCAGGACUGGGGUUAACUCUCUCACUCCCCUCCCCUGCUGUAUGCACAAGCUACUCUCUGGAAUUGUUGCAGAUUUCAAAUGUGCCUGGCCUGACAAUGGUGCUGCUGCGCAUUGUUAUGCAACUCACUGUCUGGGAGGGCAGCUUGUAGCCACUUUAUUCUGCAAGUGCCAGGUGCGUGUUUAGUCAAUGUCACGGCACGCUAAUGCAACCUAGAGCACGGCCACUCUCCUCUGCUGGGGUUUAGUUGCAGAGUUAUAUCAUGUCCAGAAUGAUGUCUUGGAACUAUCUGCCAAUGAUGCCUGCUUAGGUGUAAAGUGUGCCUGGGACUUGGAAAUGGUACUUAGAUUAUGCAAGUCUCCAGAACAGCCUGCGAUGGAGCUCAAGUACUACUGGAUCUAAAAUCAUGUUACCAGAAAGACACACCAGACGAAAGGGUGACUUACAAUCUCAUAAGGAAAAAUCUGGAAACAGAGCUCUAUUAGGUCAAUGAAAAUCCUUUAACGGUAAGAGCUGCCUGCUGAAUGGGGGGAGAGAGAGAGAGAAAAAAAAAAUCACAAGUUGGAUUUGAACUGAGUACAAGCCUCCUGGAAAGCUGUUCUCACGCUGUGGUUCAAUAUUGAGAGUAUCAUCUUUUUCCCGUCGCCUGGAUUCAUUGGAUUAAUAACAGACUAAGCAUCCGUGAAUUUUGUUACUCCUUGCCAUUCAUUAUUUAGGGGGAACAGGCGAGGGCUAGUACAUGUACUGACUGUACACAUGUGUGGUACAGCUCUGCUGGAAGAUAAAAGCUUGGCUUUCCAUUGUGUUGGGGACACAGAAGCAUGCCUGAUGCCACUGUACUCCUGAUGCAGAAUAGGUUAGUCUUCGGAGGAUUGCUGAAGACAUUUCUGAGAAACAUGGUCACGUCUGCUCUAACAGCAGCAGCAGCGGAAGUGAAGAAGCAAGAGGAGAAAGAAGAGAAAGAGGAGUCCAUUUUAGCCAUGCUGGGAAUUAUAGGGACUGUUUUGAACCUGUUUGUCAUCGUGUUUGUGUACAUCUAUACCACCCUCUGAUGGUCUUGCUCUACGCUGGCUGAUUAACAAGUGAGGGUGAAACCUCAGUGAUUGCAUAACAAAUGGCAGGGGAUACGAAGAUACGUCAAGGAGGCUCCUCAGACCAUCCAAUACAUUCCAGUGCUAAGUGCCUAGUUGGACCAUGGGCAAUGGAGCGCAUUUGCCAAUGUAGAUAGGAGUAUGAAACGAAGAUGAGCAGGAAUCACUCACAUGCGGAGGUGCAACUGUGCAUCACUUUUAAUAAAGCCCUGGAGUGCUGUGUUACUGCCAUAAUAUCCAAGAUACAGGAAAUAAUAUUUCUACAGUCGUGUCCAUCUUAUGGCAUCUCACUCACUCACCAUGAGUAGAAAAAAAAACAUACAAACUUUUCUUAAAUUCCAUAGAAGACUUUCCUACUAUAUGCUUCCAUACAGGUACAUCAACGGAUGGAUUAUAACACAUUUCAAUACAUUUUUCCCCCCAAAAUAUAUUUUUUAAAGCACCUUACUAAAAAUGUCACCUUAAAAAACAACUCUGCUUUAACAAUUACUGUGAUUUACAAGGUAUACAAUAAUAAAAUGUUUUAAUCAAUUCAUCCAUGCUUGGACAAAGGAAAGUUAGGGAUAGACAGGGAACGUGUAAGCCAUUAAGAGCUAGGUUACAAUAUUAGGUUGCAAUGAGCACUAGGUAAGAUAGUGAUAACUGUAACGUGGGAAAUUGUGGCAGUGUGGGGAUUGCUAGUGAAAACGUUAACAACUGUGGUUUAAGAUUAACUAUGGAAAAAAGAAACCAGAACACUUAGGGGCAUGGAGACAAGAGAAGGAAAAUACACAGAGCUCUGCUUUUUUUGUACAUUUGUAAAUUUUGUUUAAUGAGUAACAAGCCCCCUCAUCCAUACAGAAAUUAUUUCAACACUCUCCAGGUCUCACAUGUAGCGCUAACACUUGAGGAAAUAGUCAUUUAUAUUACCAAGUACAACAAAGCACCAGUUUCACCUGGAUCAUUUUAAGUGGUUUGUACAAAUAUUGCUACAUCUUAUCUUACAUUUAAAGAACAUACAUUUUUAACACACAGAAAAAGCUUGGAGGUUUGUUCAAUGUGUGCUACAGUGUCUGCACAGCUAAGUCUGCUGCUCUGUAUGCCCACUUGUCAUUUAAGGGUGUAUUGUAUAAACAGUAUUUACACACGUGACUAUACAGUGACUUAGUUCUAACUUUAUUCGAUUUCUUGUCAGCGAAGGUGGUGCUUUACAUUUACCACCUAUGGUACACACAUACGCUUUAGUGACACUGGUAAAGGUGCUUUGCCAGGUGUGUAGUUAGGUCACUGGGAUUACACUGGUUUAUUUAAAUUUACUAUAUAGUGCACUCCAUACACAUAAGAAAAGCCAUGCACAGAAAUAAUAAUAUAUGACUCUGGUUAAUGCCAGACCAGGGUCAGAGAAUUCAGGUUUCUAUUAAAAACAAUAUACAGUACAUAGCCACUUGUUGGUGGGGUACGAGGGAGUGACCGUUAAUGUGCAUUGGUUGUCCAAUUAUUUUAAGGCAUUCUGCACACUGGUUAGAUCCUCUACAAAAUGCAUAAUCUUAAGUGGAAACUGCUGUAAUAGGGGGGGCGCUGCAGCUGCCAAACAGGUAGAAAAAAGAUUUCUUCUUUUAACAGAGAACUGUACAUGGUCUUGGAUAGAGAUGGUUUCAUGAUGUGUUAGUUAUUGACAAACACAUUGUACCACAGAGGACAUUACAUCUGCUGGCACACCAUGCAUAUAAAUCAAUAGGAGUGUUACUUAAGUAAAAAGUCACAUACCACAUGAAUCAAAAACACAAGUGCCCUAAUUAAUGUGAUCAGUAACUGAAGCCCAACAUUCAUGAUGUUACAAAUUCAGGAGGUAAUAAUCUACCUAUACCCCCCUCAGUGUUAAUCGUUCUCAAAUUUAUUAUAAGAGAUAUAAUAUGCAGACAUCUCUAGUUAUCAUUAUGACUUUUAUAACCAAAAUAUUAAAAAAAAUGAAUUUCAUUUUUUGAUCAAAUUAUACAGUGUAAUCAUUAAAAUGAACACUAAGUGCCCACAUGCUCACUUUGCAUAAAGCAAUAAUGUUCUAAAUCUUGCCAAGUGAUGGGAACAGACGCUUAGUAACAGAAUAGCCAUUUCUGAAUAAAUCUGAAUAAAGUACAAAGCUGCUGUGACACAUGACUUGUCAGAAUACAUACAUGAAUUAUUAGUCAUUUAUAUAAAAAAAAGAAAAGAAAAAAUUAUUAUUACAUCUAUUGGACAAUAUAUGCCAAUAUAUAAAGUGGUCAACCACUUGCACACGUGCUCAAUCAGGGUUGUGCUAGAAAGAAGUACUGAUUAAAAGUUUAUUAGAGAUGGAGCUAUUUAACUUGCUCUUUUAAUAUCACGGGCACUAACAGCCCACAACCUGUACUGUAUAAAACACAAACAUGUCCAACUACUGUGCUAUGCCAUAUAGACAGAGAAAUAUGAUUUUAGAUCCAAAAGAUAACACCUACCUUGUCCUGUAAUUCCAUGAGUACAUGCUAGUGAGGUGAGAGUGAGCUGCAUGGUAAUAAGUAUAUUUCCCCCCCCCCCACUAGGGCGAGUUGCAAGUUUGGGGAGGAAACAUAUCCCAUUGCAUAUUGGUGAUGUAAAUAAUUGUCAAUUUCAAAGCUAAACUACCUUUCACUUUGCUAUUAGUGCUUCUGACUUCCAUUCGGGGCACAUAACUUCUUUCUUACAAUGCCUACUCUUUACUUUCUACAAAUAGCAGUCACCAAAUACCAUGUGACAGAAAAUGUAGAUACAGUAUAAGGCAGAAAACAGUGAAAACACACUUCAACAUUACAAAGACCACAAUGUAUGUGAAUACAUGAAAGUCAGAAUUUAAGAGUCAUUGGCAGUGAUUUUUUUCCAAACUAGAAGUGUAACAAUCUGCAUCUUGUUGCAGCAGCCAGCUUUGUCUCUUUCUGGGAACAAGGUAUGGAAAGUGCGUUAUACAUCAGCAUAGUAGCCAACAUUAUAAAUUUCCUGGGAGAAACUGAGCUGGACAGGUGUGUGUCACAUUCCAUAAGGCUAGAAGGCGCUUGGGAACAGCACUUCCAUAUUAUCGCAACUUAAAUCACGAGUAGAACAUUAUACACCCAUCUUCAAAAAAAUAUUAAUUUGUAUUAUGCCGUUAUUUCACUCUGAACAAAAACAGGGCAAGUUUACAUUACUACAGGUCAUACUUUCAAUGGUCUGCACAGCCGUUACCAUUUCAUGCCCACUACACUGAGGUCAUUGGAAAAGGACAUCAAAACGCUUUAAAAGUAAAAACAUAUACUCCAACAUUCAAAAAACCCAAAGAGCUAGAUUUGUUUAGGAUAGCAGACUUGAAAUACAGGAUAUCGAUAAGUAUACAUAAACAAAUAUCAAAAUAUAUUAUUGUCAUUACAACAGAAAGUGAGCAGCAAAAAAAAAAUUUUUUUACACAUCUUUAGUAUAAAAGUAACUCGGUCUUUGGAUGCCAUAGAUUCUCCAUAGACAGAAUAAAAUAGGAAGCGCUGAAAAAACCUUAAUACCGCAUAACUUCUGUUUUAAAACCAUACUAAUUUUGUAAGAGCUUAUUUAAGGUAAGACAUAGGGUGCAUAUAGUAUUGUGCUGGCACACUAAGCAACCAAUAAGGAAUUUGCUUUCAUUCGUACAACGUACACUUGACCAAUCAGGGCUUACUUCUGACGGUAGAGGCGUCUUGAGCUUUGCAACCUGAUGAACAAAAUAAUAGAUAUGGAGCAAGCGGGUGAAAUUUUUAAUGUACUUAAUACAAGCCAUGGAUCCAUGAAUACUGAUAGGGUGCGGUCAACAGUGUCCAUGAAAGAGGAGCGCACUACUUUGCUUAAUGCUACAAUGAUUUUGAAAAGAUAAUUUCCCUUUAACAGAUGGAAAUGAGGAAUGCCGACAAAAAAUUUAAAAUGUAUUGUUUAUGAUCUUAUUAAUAAAAUAAUCAUUUAAAGUCAA